rnacentral:lncRNA from 1 species
GUGAUACAUGAAUUUUAUUCCAUAAGGCAAUCCAUUAGUUUUAGUCCAAAAGGCGUUAAAUGAGUUUUAAUUCACUAGGCAUUAUGUUAGUUUUAGUCUACAAGGCGAUACACGAGUUUUAGUCCACGAGGCAAAACAUUAGUUUUAGUCCACAAGGCAAUACAUUAGUUUUAGUCCACAAGGCAAUACAUUAGUUUUAGUCCACAAGGCGAUACAUUAUUCUUUUUU